rnacentral:rRNA from 1 species
GACGAACGCUGGCGGCGUGCUUAACACAUGCAAGUCGAACGGAAAGGCCCUACUUUUGUGGGGUGCUCGGGUGGCGAACGGGUGAGUAACACGUGAGUAACCUGCCCUUGACUUUGGGAUAACUUCAGGAAACUGGGGCUAAUAUCGGAUAGGAGCUCCUGCUGCAUGGUGGGGGUUGGAAAGUUUCGGCGGUUGGGGAUGGACGCGCGGCUUAUGAGCUUGUUGGUGGGGUAGUGGCUUACCAAGGCUUUGACGGGUAGCCGGCCUGGGAGGGUGGCCGGCGACAUUGGGACUGAGAUACGGCCCAGACUCCUACGGGAGGCAGAAGUGGGGAAUAUUGCACAAUGGGCGGAAGCCUGAUGCAGCAACGCCGCGUGCGGGAUGACGGCCUUCGGGUUGUAAACCGCUUUCGCCUGUGACGAAGCGUGAGUGACGGUAAUGGGUAAAGAAGCACCGGCUAACUACGUG